CAUUCAGAAAGUGCUCACUGCCCGGGGUGUGUCGCUUCCUUCUGAAGGAAUAGUGUGGACUGGUGAGGGAGGUGGCCAAAGCUCUGGCGGAACCACGGGUAAGGGUUGAAGCAGAGGCCAAGUCUCUGGAAGGAACACAGGCGAGGAAUGAGGAUGCAACUGCUCCGAUGGCACCAUAUGUGAGGAACGAGGAGGCAGCCAUGGCUCCGAUGGGAUGCAAGGCGAAGAACUAACCUCCAGCAGCACUACAGGCUCAUCCUCAUCCUGAACCUCCAGCAUGACAAUGCCACCAGCCAUACUGCUCGUUCUGUGCAUGAUUUCCUGCAAGACAGGAAUGCCAGUGUUCUGCCAUGGCCAGCGAAGAGCCAUGAUCUCAAUCCCACUGAGCACAUCUGGGACCCAUUGGAUCAAAGGGGACAAUCCCCCCCGGAGCAACCUGGAGUUAAGUGCCUUGCUCAAGGACACAAUGGUGUUGGAUGUGGGGAUUGAACCAGCA